rnacentral:rRNA from 1 species
CGGCAGCACGGGGGCAACCCUGGUGGCGAGUGGCGAACGGGUGAGUAAUACAUCGGAACGUGUCCUGUAGUGGGGGAUAGCCCGGCGAAAGCCGGAUUAAUACCGCAUACGCUCUACGGAGGAAAGGGGGGGAUCUCAGGACCUCUCGCUACAGGGGCGGCCGAUGGCAGAUUAGCUAGUUGGUGGGGUAAAGGCCUACCAAGGCGACGAUCUGUAGCUGGUCUGAGAGGACGACCAGCCACACUGGGACUGAGACACGGCCCAGACUCCUACGGGAGGCAGCAGUGGGGAAUUUUGGACAAUGGGCGCAAGCCUGAUCCAGCAAUGCCGCGUGUGUGAAGAAGGCCUUCGGGUUGUAAAGCACUUUUGUCCGGAAAGAAAUCCUUUGAGCUAAUACCUCGGGGGGAUGACGGUACCGGAAGAAUAAGCACCGGCUAACUACGUGCCAGCAGCCGCGGUAAUACGUAGGGUGCAAGCGUUAAUCGGAAUUACUGGGCGUAAAGCGUGCGCAGGCGGUUCGCUAAGACAGAUGUGAAAUCCCCGGGCUUAACCUGGGAACUGCAUUUGUGACUGGCGGGCUAGAGUAUGGCAGAGGGGGGUAGAAUUCCACGUGUAGCAGUGAAAUGCGUAGAGAUGUGGAGGAAUACCGAUGGCGAA